AUUGAACGCUGGCGGCAUGCUUUACACAUGCAAGUCGAACGGUAACAGGCCGCAAGGUGCUGACGAGUGGCGAACGGGUGAGUAAUGCAUCGGAACGUGCCCAGUCGUGGGGGAUAACUGCUCGAAAGAGCAGCUAAUACCGCAUACGAUCUAUGGAUGAAAGCGGGGGACCGUAAGGCCGCGCGCGAUUGGAGCGGUCGAUGGCAAAUUGGGUAGUCGGUGGGGAAAAGGCUCACCAAGCCAACUAUCUGUAGCUGGUCUGAGAGGACGACCAGCCACACUGGGACUGAGACACGACCCAGACUCCUACGGGGGGCAGCAGUGGGGAAUUUUGGACAAUGGGUGCAAGCCUGAUCCAGCAAUGCCGCGUGCAGGAAGAAGGCCUUCGGGUUGUAAACUGCUUUUGUACGGAACGAAACGGUCUGGGUUAAUACCCUGGGCUAAUGACGGUACCGUAAGAAUAAGCACCGGCUAACUACGUGCCAGCAGCCGCCGUAACAC
rnacentral:rRNA from 1 species